CCGUCCCCUUUCCCCUCUUUCCCCGCCGCCCGGUGCCCCGCGGCGGCGCCCACCUUGGCACUGCGUGUCCAUCUCCCGCAACAGCGAGGCGUUGCGCUGGAUGUCCAGCGGCAGAGACUCCACGCACUCCAGAAAUGCUUCUCUGUCUUCCAUGGGAUGAAAAGGAUGAAGAAUUAUCUGAGAUACCGCAAAAGUAAACAGAUUUAAAAAAGAAUGAGUACAAGCCAGAUGGGCUUCUUAAGAGUCAGCUGAAAGAAACAAUAGGCCAUAGCAGAGUUUUGUACAGGUGAUAUUCUGGGAAGAGGCUAUCCUUGCCAGAGAUACUACUGUGUUUGACCAGGAAGCUGCUUUCAGACAGUAACUCCUCUUCCUCAGAUACUGUUAUAAAGCAGAAAUGAUCAGUGGAUUUGGUUUCCAGCUCUAGAACCAAUCACCAUUUGAAAAACCUCAGGAGGUGUGCAGAUGAUGUUUAGUUGAGCCAAGUUAGAAAUGGUAACAAGGUAAUCUCACUGCAUUAACAACCAUCUUUCUUGUCUUACCUCAGCCCUGAAACCUGUUCCUGUUUCAUUCUAGUAAGUGAAGGAAUCCACAUGAAUUUAAGGGAAAAGAACCAAGACCCUUUUGCACACAAUAAAGAAAGGAUUUUUGGUGUGUUCUUGCCUGAGGUCCCUGCUGACAUGAA